GAUGAACGCUGGCGGCGUGCCUAAUACAUGCAAGUCGAGCGAACGGACGAGAAGCUUGCUUCUCUGAUGUUAGCGGCGGACGGGUGAGUAACACGUGGAUAACCUACCUAUAAGACUGGGAUAACUUCGGGAAACCGGAGCUAAUACCGGCUAAUAUUUUGAACCGCAUGGUUCAAAAGUGAAAGACGGUCUUGCUGUCACUUAUAGAUGGAUCCGCGCUGCAUUAGCUAGUUGGUAAGGUAACGGCUUACCAAGGCAACGAUGCAUAGCCGACCUGAGAGGGUGAUCGGCCACACUGGAACUGAGACACGGUCCAGACUCCUACGGGAGGCAGCAGUAGGGAAUCUUCGGCAAUGGGCGAAAGCCUGACGGAGCAACGCCGCGUGAGUGAUGAAGGUCUUCGGAUCGUAAAACUCUGUUAUUAGGGAAGAACAGAUGUGUAAGUAACUGUAUACAUCUUGACGGUACCUAAUCAGAAAGCCACGGCUAACUACGUG
rnacentral:rRNA from 1 species